rnacentral:rRNA from 1 species
UGGAAGUAAAAAGUCGUAACAAGGUUUCCGUAGGUGAACCUGCGGAAGGAUCAUUACCGAGUGCGGGUCCUUUGGGCCCAACCUCCCAUCCGUGUCUAUUGUACCCUGUUGCUUCGGCGGGCCCGCCGCUUGUCGGCCGCCGGGGGGGCGCCUCUGCCCCCCGGGCCCGUGCCCGCCGGAGACCCCAACACGAACACUGUCUGAAAGCGUGCAGUCUGAGUUGAUUGAAUGCAAUCAGUUAAAACUUUCAACAAUGGAUCUCUUGGUUCCGGCAUCGAUGAAGAACGCAGCGAAAUGCGAUAACUAAUGUGAAUUGCAGAAUUCAGUGAAUCAUCGAGUCUUUGAACGCACAUUGCGCCCCCUGGUAUUCCGGGGGGCAUGCCUGUCCGAGCGUCAUUGCUGCCCUCAAGCCCGGCUUGUGUGUUGGGUCGCCGUCCCCCUCUCCGGGGGGACGGGCCCGAAAGGCAGCGGCGGCACCGCGUCCGAUCCUCGAGCGUAUGGGGCUUUGUCACAUGCUCNGUAGGAUUGGCCGGCGCCUGCCGACGUUUUCCAACCAUUCUUCCAGGUGACCUCGAUCAGUAGACCA